rnacentral:rRNA from 1 species
AUUGAACGCUGGCGGCAGGCUUAACACAUGCAAGUCGAGCGGAGAUGAGGUGCUUGCACCUUACCUUAGCGGCGGACGGGUGAGUAAUGCUUAGGAAUCUGCCAUUUAGUGGGGGACAACAUUCCGAAAGGAAUGCUAAUACCGCAUACGUCCUACGGGAGAAAGCAGGGGAUCUUCGGACCUUGCGCUAAAUGAUGAGCCUAAGUCGGAUUAGCUAGUUGGUGGGGCAAAGGCCUACCAAGGCGACGAUCUGUAGCGGGUCUGAGAGGAUGGUCCGCCACACUGGGACUGGGACACGGCCCAGACUCCUACGGGAGGCAGCAGUGGGGAAUAUUGGACAAUGGGCGGAAGCCUGAUCCAGCCAUGCCGCGUGUGUGAAGAAGGCCUUUUGGUUGUAAAGCACUUUAAGCGAGGAGGAGGCUACUAGUACUAAUACUACUGGAUAGUGGACGUUACUCGCAGAAUAAGCACCGGCUAACUCUGUGCCAGCAGCCGCGGUAACAC